rnacentral:rRNA from 1 species
AUACCUACGGGGGGCAGCAGUCGGGAAUAUUGCGCAAUGGAGGAAACUCUGACGCAGUGACGCCGCGUGCAGGAAGAAGGAUUUCGGAUUGUAAACUGCUUUAGACAGGGAAGAAAAAAGACAGUACCUGUAGAAUAAGCUCCGGCUAACUACGUGCCAGAAGCAGCGGUAAUAAGUAGGGAGCAAGCGUUAUCCGGAUUUAUCGGGUGUAAAGGGUGCGGAGAAGGGAAUGCAAGUUGGUUGUGAAAU